GAUCAUGGCUCAGGAUGAACGCUGGCGGCGUGCCUAACACAUGCAAGUCGAGCGAAGCGGUUUUGAGGAAGUUUUCGGAUGGAAUUAAAACUGACUGAGCGGCGGACGGGUGAGUAACGCGUGGGUAACCUGCCUCAUACAGGGGGAUAACAGUUAGAAAUGGCUGCUAAUACCGCAUAAGCACACAGCUUCGCAUGGAGCAGUGUGAAAAACUCUGGUGGUAUGAGAUGGACCCG
rnacentral:rRNA from 1 species